rnacentral:rRNA from 1 species
GUGUCAGCCGCCGCGGUAAUACGAAGGGGGCUAGCGUUGUUCGGAAUUACUGGGCGUAAAGCGCGCGUAGGCGGAUUGGUCAGCCAGGGGUGAAAUCCCGGGGCUUAACCUCGGAACUGCCUUUGAUACUGCCAGUCUCGAGUCCGGAAGAGGUGAGUGGAAUUCCUAGUGUAGAGGUGAAAUUCGUAGAUAUUCGCAAGAACACCAGUGGCGAAGGCGGCUCACUGGUCCGGAUCUGACGCUGAGGCGCGAAAGCGUGGGGAGCAAACAGGAUUAGAUACCCUGGUAGUCCACGCCCUAAACGAUGUGUGCUAGAUGUCGGGGGACUUGUCCCUCGGUGUCGGAGCUAACGUGUUAAGCACACCGCCUGGGGAGUACGGUCGCAAGAUUAAAACUCAAAGGAAUUGACGGGG